UACGGGGGGGGCAAGCGUUGUUCGGAAUUACUGGGCGUAAAGGGUUUGUAGGUGGCUCGCUAAGUCACACGUGAAAUCCCUCAGCUUAACUGGGGAACUGCGUGUGAGGCUGGCAAGCUCGAGUGCAGGAGAGGAAUGCGGAAUUCCAGGUGUAGCGGUGAAAUGCGUAGAUAUCAGGAGGAACACCAACGGCGAAGGCAGCUCUCUGGGACGUUACUGACGCUGAGACGCGAAAGCGUGGGGAGCAAACAGG
rnacentral:rRNA from 1 species